rnacentral:rRNA from 1 species
UACGUAGGGUGCGAGCGUUAAUCGGAAUUACUGGGCGUAAAGCGUGCGCAGGCGGUUCGUUGUGUCGGCGGUGAAAGCCCCGGGCUUAACCUGGGAAUGGCCGUUGAAACUGGCGAACUGGAGUGUGGCAGAGGGGGGGUGGAAUUCCGCGUGUAGCAGUGAAAUGCGUAGAGAUGCGGAGGAACACCGAUGGCGAAGGCAGCCCCCCCUGGGCUAACACUGACGCUCAGGCACGAAAGCGUGGGGGAGCAAACAGG